GGUUUCUCCGAGGUCCCAUGCAACUGCACCACCGGUACAUACAUAGCACAAGCAAUGGCUUCCGGCAUUCCCUCUCUGCUUUUCUGUCUGCUUCUUGCUGCUCCUCACCUUGGCAGCUCUUACCACACCAAUGGUGGAAAGCACUUUGUUGUCCGCUCAUCCGAUUGGAGGAGUCCGUCGACCUGCUCGCCCGUCCCUGGAGAUGGAGGACGGCUGCCGGUAAUGCAUCGGCUUAGCCCGUGCGCUCCUGCUUCUGGCGCCGGUGCCGGUUCGGGCCAAAGCAUGCCCUCGAUCAGCGACGCCCUCCGCCUGCGCGCCCUCUUCGGCGAUUCAGGCGACUAUAAAAAGUCCGGGGUGACGAUCCCCUCGAUCGGAACCCCACUCCAGUCUCUUCCGGGCGCAUCAGAGUACCACGUCACCGUCGGCUACGGCACCCCGGUGCAGAGACUCGCCGUGGGAUUCGACACGGCCACCGUGGGAGCCACGCUCCUCCGGUGCGAGCCAUGCGCCGGGAGCCGGUGCGGCAAGAAGCACCUCUUCGACCCGUCCCGGUCGUCUUCCCUCGCCCAGAUCCCGUGCGGCUCGAGAAACUGCCCGCUGAGCGACUGCUCCGGACCCAGCUGCACGGCAACCCUGAAAAAGAAGGGCGCCGUCGUGCUCAACGCCACCUUCGUCACCGACACGCUCACGGUCUCACGGUCGGUCGCCGUGGACGACUUCAGGUUCGUCUGCUUGGAGACGCGCGGCGCCAGCACGGAGGGCCGCUCGUCGGGAGUCCUCGACCUCAGCCGGGACCCCCACUCGCUGGCGUCGCGGGUCGUUCUCUCGCCGGACACGGUCGCCUUCUCCUACUGCCUGCCCUCGGCCUUCCCCUACUCGGCGGGCUUCCUCUCCUUCGGCGCCACGCGCCCGAACAUAGUGAGCUACGCCACCCUAAAGAGCAAAGCCUCCCACCCGAACCUGUACUUCCUCCGGCUCGUCGGCGUGAGCGUCGGCGCGGUGGACAUCCCGGUUCCGCCUCAGGCACUCGCCGGCGACGCGCUGAUGGAGCUGCACACGACGUUCACUUACCUGCAGCCGAAGGUCUACGCGGCCCUCCGCGAUCAGUUCAGGGGGUGGAUGGGGCAGUACCCUGUGGCGCCGCCGUACGGCGAGCUCGACACGUGCUACAACUUCACCGGCCAGAGCAGCGUCGGGGUGCCGGCGGUCGAGCUCACCUUCGAGGGCGGUGCGGGCCUGGAGCCCGGCGUCCAGCAGACGAUGUACUUCAAGGACCGCGGUAACAUCUUCUCAGUGGGGUGCCUCGCGUUCGCGCCGGUGCCUCCGCACGCACGGGGCAUCACGGUUAUCGGCUCCUUGGCUCAGGCGACGACGGAAGUGGUUUACGACCUGCGUGGAGGCAAGGUCGGGUUCGUCACCAAGAGUUGC
rnacentral:rRNA from 1 species